UAUUGAAGUCAAACAAUUUCUAUACAUUUUCUAGAAAUAUUUGUUAAAUGUACAUAUUCAUCCUUAUUUUCUGCAUGAAAAACAUCUUUCAAUAAUUUAUUUACCAGUUUAAUAUUUUGGGAUACCAUUGUCAAGGGGUACAAUCAAAAUCACGUGAUGGAUAUACACACACCGGAAGUAACAGUCGAGCAGACCGCUUGAAAGGUACUUUCUGUGGCAUGUUUUCAUGGUGUGGGAAUAAGACUUGGUGGUCAAAUACAGCUAAUAUGUAGGUUAGCACCACAGCUUGUCUGCAAGGAUUGAAGCUGGGAAACGGCCAUUGGAGCUGAAUUUUAUGGAAGCUGUGGCUGCAGCAAUGAUUAUGUGAUAAAACUGAAGAAUGUUAUUCAAAUUUUUUUUGUAUAUAUUUCAAAAAAUGUAAUUUUUUAUAAAAAAAAAAAAAAAAAAAAAAAAGGUGUAAAGAU